GGGGCUAUAGCUCAGCUGGGAGAGCGCCUGCCUUGCACGCAGGAGGUCUGCGGUUCGAUCCCAUAGCUCCACCA
rnacentral:tRNA from 1 species